AUGGAAGGUUCUCCAAUGUACGGUGAAGAUGGGUGGUAUCUGAGUUUUUUUGCUAAUGGAGAGUUGGAGAGUUUUCAACAGGGGAGGUUUGGACAACAAUGGAUAAGGACUGUUUUUUCAUAUUGCAUCAAGUUUAAUGGUGCACAUUUGGACUGGUUGUGUGGACUACAAGGUCAUUGUGUUGUGCAAGUUUUGGAGUGGAGUGGCAGAGCUGUUUUUGUGCAAUUGUUGGACAACAGGGCACUUUUUCUGUUUAGACAUCGGGAAGCAACAAAUUUGGCAUCGGUUUAUGGAUUGUCUUAG